GGCAGUUUUCCACUCCGAAACUGAGGCCAGACUUUCCCUCGACGGACUUGCAUGGGGCUGGCAGAAAUUUUCCGGAUCAGGUAGAAAACGAAAGCCCACUAACACCUGUUGAGCUGCCAGGUGGACUGGCUUACCCACGGGUGGGACCAACCGGCCAGUCUCCGGUGAGCCUGCCCAGGGACGGCUGCUCGCCCCGGACUUUCGACAGCGAGGAUGCCUGGGGCCGGUUGGUAGGAGGGCAGGGUCUGCUGGGUGCCACCGGUCAGAGAUGGGCACGCAGGGCAGAAGAGGGGCGGCCAUCGGGACCCUGCGGCAGAGGCUGAGUGUGAGAUAUCAACCCGCAGUCACACGCCAAGAAAUGUCCCCAAUCACUCCAGAGCCCUUUGUUUUAAUUACUUGACCUCUUUGGCCUCAUCCUAAUUUGGCAAUUGAUGAAGAUGCUGCUUGUUAAAUUUUAAAAGUGAAAUCGGAUUAUCCCUUCCCGGUUUGAAAGGGGCUUGAGAGAGAAAUCUCAGGUGCCUGGCUGGGAAGCAAAGGGGCUUAUAUUCUGACUGCCCAGGCACAGCCACAUGCCCUGACCCGACCUGCCUGGCACACGCAUGCCCCCUUCCAUGGAUGAGGAAGCUCUUGUCUCCAGAAGGGAAGAGACUCACCACUUUGUACCAGAUUGUCAAUGACCAGGGAAAGCAAGAUCCAGGACAGGGUCUGCGAGUGGGAGCCUGUCGCAAUUUGAUGGACAUCACAUUCAGAAUGUCACCAGAGCUGGCUCUUGCUCACCUCCAUCCAGGGGACCACAAGGGGAGAGACCCUCACCCCAGCCACCUCAAACCUAUUCCUUUCUCUCUCUCUACAACACCCCCCCCCCAGCUUGAUGAAUGAACAGCCUGAAUUGCCCUGGAGAUGGGGGUGGGGACUCUAGCCUGCAUCUGAUGUCCUGGAUUCAGGACAUCCCAGGACCACAGUAUCUUGGGGACAGGUUGGCUGCCCCUCCUUGCUGACCCCAUAGCCAGUCCCUCCUGCUGGUGCCCCCUUCCUGCCUGAGAAGCCCUAGCUCAGCCUCCCUUCUCUAUUAACUUGGUACCUGGGCAUAGCUGAGGGCAUCUCAGGGCCAAAACCCCCUCAAAUUCUAAUAAUGGUGAGAUCUCAUGUCCCCACCCAAACUUCCACCUCCCUCCCGACAUGUGGAAGCAGUGGAUGUGCUGAGGAGCUGUGUGUGGUGAGGGCUACUGCGUCUGCCCUGGCCGGAGAUGGCCGACUGUUGGUGACAUAAGAACUCCGGCAUCCUGGUGGGCCCCUCGUCCAUGGCUGUCUCCUGGGGGCUCAGCACUCUCAGCCUUCUGAGUCAGGGUUUCUUGACUUGGUAGGGAGGAGAUGCAGGGGAGGGUUGGCUGAAUUGUUCACACUUGACUGGAAAAGGCUGGCCUUGGGUUGUGGUGGGAAAUGUAGGCUCCAAACCCCAGCUAGUGCACCUACUAAGUGGGUGACAUUGGCCAAGUCACUGCACGGCUUGGAGAAUCAGUUUCCUCAUCUGUAAACCAGCCACCAGGGCGCUAUGAGAACUAAGUAACGUCACAGGUGACAGCAUGCAGUUCCCUAAAGGUGUCCAGGUCAGGUUGCUGUGCCUUGACUUCUCCCAGCAUCCAGCCAGACUCUCAGACACUGGACUUGGGGGAGGUGACCAUGAGCUGAGAUGCCUCCUGCUAUCCCUAGAGCCCGGGUAGUGGGGUGAAUUUUUGUAGCAGGGACUCUCACAGAUUCAGUGAGGAAUCUCUACCAAGCCCUCCCUCUGGGGAGAGCUGGUACUUCAGUCCCCAGGCUUCUAGCCAUCAACAUUCUGGGCCACCCCAUGUAGGCUCCUGAUUCAUUUCCAAGUGGUCGCUUGGCACACAUAUGCUUGCCCUGUCUUCCCAUCAUGGGUUUUACACCGGUCUUACUCCCUGGCAGAAUUAGAUCAGCUGCAUGUGACUUCAGGGGCAUCAGGAAAGUCCCUGCCCACCAAACAUCAUCCUUUCCCUGCCCAAACCUAGCUGUUUGGUAGCAAUGUUCCACCAUGAGAGACCUAUUCCUCUGGCUCAUGGCCUUGCGUCCACUUAUUCAGCCAGUGGACCUUAGCAUCAAUGACUUGUUUAGGAACUUGCAGCAUGUUUGGGAGGAGAGGGAGAGGGCAGAAGAACAGAGGGGAGCGCAGGAGAGAGAAGAUGGGACGUGGCCAGGCUCACCAUUCGCGGCUGCUGUGGCGAAUGUAGGACUUUUUCAUAACGACAACCACAAUAUAAAGACCCAAUUGCCAAGCCCAGGACGCCUGGGGAGGAGAUGCAACCCAGGCGGGCACAGGCGGGGAAAGUGGUAGAUCUCAGUGGAAUUCCUGGUGGGAAGAGGGUGGGCGCCUGCAGAGAACGAGGUGUUAGAUGGCGCUGACCUAGGCGUUGGCAGCCCUAGGGAGGUGAAGAAAACCCCAGGAAAAGGCAGAAGCCUCCUUCCUCUGCCCUUCAGGGAAUGGCCGUCCAACGCACAGUCCCGAGGGUCCAAGCAGUCGAUAGGUGGUAUUCUUUGUAUGUGAGCACAGUCUGUCACAUUGUCAGUGGCAAUUUGUUAGGUCAGCAGAACAAGGAAGUAUCCCCUGGCUGACGGGGCGGGGCUGGGCCAGGGGAGGUUCCGACGCCUGCGCCACCCUGACCGUCCAUGUCUGUCACAUCACCCUCUCUGGAGAGAAGCAAAAACAGCAUCGUUCACCCAGACCCGAGAGGCUUCUGGGCUGCAGGAGAGGGAUCCUGCUGGGGUGGCCCUGAACACAGGUGGCUCCUGGCCCCACUGAGCAAAAAAUCCUGAGCGCUUCCAUGAGUGCUGGGAGACCAGGAGUGAGCGUCCCCACCCAGGCAGCCCAUAAGCCAGGCUGGUUAAUGAGGGGUGGGGCAGCCUCACCGGGGCUCCCCGAUGCCUGGCAACAUGGACUUGUCUUAGCUCAUGAUGAUCCAGCAAUGAGCAGUUUGCAACCCAUUCUGGGUGCUCCAGAGGGCAGACUCCUGGCCAGAGGGAAGAUGUGACAUACCACCAGUGUGACUUGUUGGCCAUAAACUUGGGAGGGACAUCCAUUCUUAAGGAUUAUUCUUAACCAUAUCUGUUCUUAAAUAAUCAUGAUGACAGUGAUGAUAACAUCUCUUUAUUCUUCCCUAACAAGCAUUUAUUGAGCACCUAAUAUGCACAUAACAACUUCUGAUUUAAGCAAAGGGGAUACAGCUGUGGUACCAUUGGCAUUUGGAGCUGAAUGAUCCUCACACUUCGUGUUUUGGCAAAUGUCCCAGGCACUGUAGGAUAUUCAGCAACCCCCCUAGGGUUUCUACCCACCAGAUACCAGUACCACACACCAGGUUGUGACAACCAAAAAUGUCCCCAGAGAUUGCCAUUUAUCCCUAGGGAGCCAAAGAGCCCACUGUUGAGAACCUCUGGGACUACAGCUAUGAAUAAAAAUCAAUCCUGUUCCCUUAGGAGCAUCAUUGUAAAGACAGAGGGACAAUAAAUGUGCUAAGGAAGUCGAAUAUGCACUUGGCUGCAUGGUGGAAAUGCUGGGAACACAAAGGGUCAGAGUUAGGAGCCUGCGGGCUGGGACGGUGGGGGGGGGGGUCUGCCACUUUCAACAGUGAGACUGGGAAAGACCUCCCUGAGCAGGUGACAUUUCAACAGAGGCCAGAGGAGGGGAGGGAGGGAGAUUCAGGGAAGGACCUGCCAAGCAGCAGCAGGGAGAGAGUUAAGGACCCAGGGGGAGGUAGUGGCCCUGUGAGGGCAGGCGGGUGGUUCUGAUGGGGCCCGUGGAGGAGGGCCAUCAGCUUUCCCUCUGGGUAAAAAGGGGGUCAGUGAGCACUCAGUGCCUGCUAGGGGCACACACCAUAUCCAGUGCUUUCCCACACACACCCCCCAAUAGUCCUACAAGCGAAGUGUUUCUUUUCUUGAUCUUUCAACUGAGAGAAGCAAGGCCAGGAAGGAUGAAGGAACUUGGAGGGGUUACAGUUGGGACAUGAACUUGGGCAGCCUGUGCGCUGCCGUCUCACACUGAAAUGUACGCUUUGGAACUGUGAAGCCCUGAGUUCAAAUACCAGCUCAGCCCCUUCCUUUGCCACGUGUGGAGUCCAAAGCUGCGCUCUGCAGGGGGAGUGUGGGGUGGGGCAUGUCUGCCCUGGGUGCUCCCAGGCCAGCCAGAAGCCAGCGGGCUGGAGCACCCUGCUCCUCCUCCCAGCCAGGGGCUCCUGUCCUGGGCUUGCACACCUGUUUACUGAUCACCGACCCUGCCAUUUGGUGAGGUUGAGGCAAGUUAAACACAAACCCAGGGAGUCCCGCAGGAGCCACCCUUUCUGAGUCAAUGUCCCCAGGGGACUUCAGGGCCAGCUUGCCAGCCUUUGUCAAAUGAUGCUUCUCCUGGGAGCAGAGCCUGAAUCGAAGGGAAAGGCAUGUGUUACCCAGGGCAGCCCCAGCAUCAGCUUCAUCCCCCAAAUCCCUGCGUCGGAGAGCCCCCGCUACCCACCUGCAGGUUCUUCUUCAAGCGCCUGUCACAAGCACCUUCCUCGCUGCAAAUACAGGUUUAAAAAUACCCCAGACAGUCGACAAAAGAGGAGCAGCUGAUAGCAACCCAGACCCUCUGGUGACUCUCACUGUGGACCCCCUGUCCCCUGGGGGAGUGUCUUCCCUGCAGAUGGACUGCAGUGACAGGGACACCCCCAGGAAGGACGUUUCUGAGCCUGCUGGACACUCAGGUGUGAGGGUGUGUGCCCCAGAGAGUGGGCGCCUCUCUCAGGAGGUGUGGGCGUGUCUGUGCAUUUCCCCGUUCAUUCCGGGCUAGCUGCCGUCAGAGGCGGCUGUGGCCUGUGGUUUCUGGGAUGAUGGGAAGCCCCUGACCCCUAACACCCAAACCCCACCACUGUGACCUUUGCUGCUUUGGCUCACCUGAAGGUGAUGCCCGAUGGGCAGAAGGUCCUGUCUGCACCUGCCCAGGAGACUCUGCCCAGCCCUCGCCAGCUGCCCUGGACGAGAACAGCCACAGAAAAGAGUGGGGGCGCUCUUCUCAGGGAACCCCUGCAGGAGGAGCCCUGGCCUAGGGCUGGAUGUCAGGAGACCCGGGUUCAAACCAGGUUCUCUGGCUGUGUGCCAUCUUAGGCCAGUCCCCACUCAUCUCUGGGCCCCUGUUUCAUGUCCCUAGAGGAUGGGGAGGGGAGGGAGGAUUCACUUUUCCCACACCCGUUUCUAGAACCCUGACUAGCAAGGGUCAGGUGGGCUUUAGGGAAUGCCCCUCCCUUAGGGGCUUCCAGUCCACAAGCCCUGAAGGUCUUCCCGCUCCAGAGCUCAACAGGCCGUGAUUCCUUGGAGAUAAACCUAGACCGAAGGCACCAAUGAGCAGAUGGACAGAGAAAUCAGACUGUUCCAUUAGACAAAAAGCAAAGGCCAGCCGGGUGCAGUGGCCCACGCCUGUAAUCCCAGCAGCUCGGGAGGCUGAGACAGGAGGAUCGCGAGUUCAAAGCCAGCCUCAGCAAAAAGAGAGGUGCUAAACAACUCAAGGUAGACCCUGUCUCUAAAUAAAAUAAAAUAAAAAAAAUAGGGCUAGGGAUGUGGCGCAGUGGUCUAGUGCCCCUGAGUUCAAUCCCCAGUAGCCCCCCAAAAAAAGCAAAGGCCAGAAGAGGGCACCAGUUCCCACGGCCACAGCGGGCUGGGUGGUGGUCUGCAGAGGAGCCGAUGGACGUCAGGCUAACUCCAGGGCAGGGGAGGGCCUUGCCUGCAGAGCAGGGUCUUCCGCUCACUGCUGAGGGAGCUUGAGUUCUCCAUCCCGCUCAGACUUCCUGUGUGUGAAAUAGAGGGAAGAAGAACGUCUCUGGGUGGGGCUUUGGUGGUGUGGUUUUUAUUGUUGUUACCAAUAAAGAGAACUUCACAGAUGCGUUGGUUGGGGCUCCGAGAGGUGGAGCAGUUUCCCAAUGGUUUCCCAGUUAAUAAGAAGCAAAGUCGAGUUUUGAACCCAGAUCUCUGCAGGUCCAAAGCCUGAGAGGUUUUUAGCUCAAGCAAAAUGGGGAAGCUGAUUAGCGGCCCUGCCCAGGUCCCGGUUACCAGAGUAGUUUCUGUUUCAUUGCAGAAUGUGGAGGAAAUGAGACCCAUCUCUAGAAUUCCAAAGAGGAAAUCUGAAUUGUCAGAAAAAAAGAAGCUGCCAGGAGGUAGACCUGCUAUUCUCCUGGGCUAACUGAUGAGGACUGCCUCCUGCUCCCUGGUGCUCAAGCCCAGGCUGCCUGGGCCACAGCCCUGCAGGGACAUUGUGGGGACAUGCUGGUCCAGGCAUCUGGACUCCCAUGAGCUUCAUGGAGGGAGACAGCACAGGGGUGGAGGCUGGCAGAAGCACCCACCCCUCCUGCCUCUAAGGGAGCCAGCUGUCAGCCUGGCCUGGGGUCAGGAAGCCACUGGAAUAAGCAGGGUUGGACUCAGUGUCCCAUGGGGAGCUGUCAAGCCACAGAGGGACAGCUGCACCGAGAACGUGCCUCCCUGCAGGUUGACAUGGGGGACACAGCUGGGCAGGAAGGACAGAAGGACAACUCUGACUUGGGUGGGCUGGGCUGUUGCCUAGACCCUCUGUGGUUCAAGGUGAUGAGCUGGGCGGCAGAUGGGUGACUGGGGAUCGGUGACCUGACUUCUUGGGAUCUGUGCUCCCAAGGGACAUCUGCCCAGCCAUGGAAUACUGCCCUCCCCAUGAUAUCUGAACAGGUUCAGUCGAAGUUUGUGGCUGGGAAGAAAAAAAAGGCUAUGAAUCCUUAAAAAUCACCGUGUCCCUGGCCCCAAAGCGGCCAUCUGCAAUGGAGAAGACACAAUGGGGACAGCAGCUCUUGGCCCAUUUCCUACUCUGGGUUCCCAUGGGCUACUCUGCUUGAGCCUCUCAUGAUGUGGUGAUGUCAGAGAGAGGUGACAUCACCACAUCAUGGUGACAUCACCACCAUGAACCCCACUUUAUAGGUGAAGAAACUGAAGCACAGAGAAGUCAGGUAACCGGUCCCCAGUCCCCCAGCUCAUACCUGGUAGAGGCGGGAUUUGAACCCAAGGAGCCCAUGCGCUUUCUGAAUCCUUGCCAUUUGUGAAAGGAAAAGGUAACCAAAGCGUCCAGCUCAGAGGCUGACUCUUCCAAACUCCUCUUCUUCCCUUUUUCUAAAACAAAAACUAUUCUCCAGACAGAAACCAGGUGAGGUAUUGGGCUCAGCUCAGGUGUGGCCUCCACCAGGUGUUCCCAUUUGGGGGCCUUUAUUUGUGCUUCUGUGGCAUCCUCAGCUCACCUCCAUCAGCCCACGUGCCAUGUCCCUUUCCCUGAGGCCCCGCCCACCACCGUUCUGCUUUCUGGCCCUCGGGCUCUGCCUCUGAGGGGUAUGUCAUAUAAAUGGACUCAUGGUCGAGCAGUGUGUGGCCUUUGUAUCUGACGUCCUUCAUUCAGCUGAAUGUGCUUCAGGUCCGUCCGUCUGUGUGACAGCAGGUGUCAGUACUUCCUUCCUCCCCGAGAGCCACUCCUGUCUGGGUGGAGCUGAGGAGCCACGGAGAGCUUUGCGGUCUCAAAGCCAGGCCAGCACCACCUGCCCCUCACUGCGGCCCUCAGGACCCGCACACCCUGAGCUGUCCCUGUGACCUCAGAGCCCGGUUCCAUCUUGAGAUGAGGAGUGUCGUCGAG
rnacentral:lncRNA from 1 species